rnacentral:rRNA from 1 species
AGAACGAACGCUGGCGGCAUGCCUAAUACAUGCAAGUCGAACGAACUCUUCGGAGUUAGUGGCGCACGGGUGCGUAACGCGUGGGAAUCUGCCCCUUGGUUCGGAAUAACAGUUGGAAACGACUGCUAAUACCGGAUGAUGACGAAAGUCCAAAGAUUUAUCGCCAAGGGAUGAGCCCGCGUAGGAUUAGCUAGUUGGUGAGGUAAAGGCUCACCAAGGCAACGAUCCUUAGCUGGUCUGAGAGGAUGAUCAGCCACACUGGGACUGAGACACGGCCCAGACUCCUACGGGAGGCAGCAGUAGGAAUAUUGGACAAGUGGGGG